rnacentral:rRNA from 1 species
GAAAAGUAGUGAAGCGUGUGAGCCAUGUGCCGAGAAAAGCUGCUAUUGUGUAAUGCGUGCCCGUACCGUAAACCGACACAGGUGGAUGAGGAGAGAAUCCUAAGGCCGACGGAAGAAGCAUUGUUAAGGAAUUCGGCAAAAUGACCCCGUAACUUCGGGAGAAGGGGUGCCUGCGAGAGCAGGCCGCAGAGAAUAGGCUCAAGCAACUGUUUAGCAAAAACACAGGUCUAUGCGAAACCGAAAGGUGAAGUAUAUGGGCUGACGCCUGCCCGGUGCUGGAAGGUUAAGAGGAGAGGUUAGCGUAAGCGAAGCUUUGAAUUUAAGCCCCAGUAAACGGCGGCCGUAACUAUAACGGUCCUAAGGUAGCGAAAUUCCUUGUCGGGUAAGUUCCGACCCGCACGAAAGGCGUAAUGAUUUGAGCACUGUCUCGACAAUGCAUCCGGUGAAAUUGAAGUACCAGUGAAGAUGCUGGUUACCCGCGCCAGGACGGAAAGACCCCAUGGAGCUUUACUCCAGUUUGAUACUGGGAUUCGGUACUGCAUGUACAGGAUAGGUGGGAGACAAAGAAGGAUGGACGCCAGUCUGUCCGGAGUCGCUGUUGGGAUACCACCCCUGUAGUACUGGGUUUCUAACCAGUUGCCAUGAACUGGCAAUGGGACAAUGUCAGGCGGGGAGUUUGACUGGGGCGGUCGCCUCCGAAAGGGUAUCGGAGGCGCUCAAAGGUUCCCUCAGAAUGGUUGGAAACCAUUUGAAGAGUGCAAAGGCAGAAGGGAGCUUGACUGCGACACCGACGGGUGGAGCAGGUACGAAAGUAGGACUUAGUGAUCCGGUGGUAUAAAGUGGGAUUGCCAUCGCUCAACGGAUAAAAGCUACCCUGGGAUAACAGGCUUAUCACUCCCAAGAGUUCACAUCGACGGAGUGGUUUGGCACCUCGAUGUCGGCUCAUCGCAUCCUGGGGCUGUAGCAGGUCCCAAGGGUUGGGCUGUUCGCCCAUUAAAGCGGUACGCGAGCUGGGUUCAGAACGUCGUGAGACAGUUCGGUCCCUAUCCGGCGCGGGCGGAGGAUAUUUGAGAGGAGCUGUCCUUAGUACGAGAGGACCGGGAUGGACGGACCACUGGUGUAUCUGUUGUCGACCAACGGCAUGGCAGAGUAGCCAAGUCUGGAAGGGAUAAACGCUGAAGGCAUCUAAGCGUGAAGCCCCCCUCAAGAUGAGAUAUCCCUCCUUCGGGAGUAAGACCCCUUGAAGACUACAAGGUAGAUAGGGCAGAGGUGGAAGCAUGGCAACAUGUGGAGCUGACUGUUACUAAUAGGUCGAGGGCUUAGU